rnacentral:tRNA from 1 species
GGAGUUGUAGCUCAGCGGUAGAGCUCUUGCCUUGUACAUGUGAGGCACUGGGUUCAAUUCUCAGCACCA